GGCGGGGUUUAUGGCAGUGGUAAAUAGUAACGAACAGACCGAAAUCCAAUGAAAACGCUCUGUCAAAGAUGAUCUAUUAUAUUGACAAAAUGGUCGAUUGACCGCUCUAACAAUGGAAAUACAGGCCAAAGGCAGCCGGUAGCCAGCAGAUCCGCUCCGCACCAUUAGUCAUCAUUCAGAUUAUUCAAAUUCAAUCAUGAAGUGUUUAGAGAGUGAUUAGAAGGACAAUAGAGCGCUGAGUACCAAGCCAUUAGUGAGGGCCGUAGACUACACAUCCACGCCACUAAUUUGCACAGUUUUGGAUGGGAUUACCAUGAACAACUGUCAAAGGGAAUUUGAAUGCGGUCAUGACUUGUGACUGCUGGUGUGGCGGUAAUACGGUCACUGCAACAGCCCUAUGAUCAUUGGAUGUUAUUAGAUUUGUGACUUUGCUGACACCACUACAGUAUGGCGGCCCACAGAGACCACACAAGAUACUUUCCACACUGCCCACCUGCGGUCCAGUGGAGUAUGGCUCUGGGCAGGGGCGAAAAUCUGAUAUCAACUUUGGAGGGGACAAUUACAUGAAAUUUUCUCAAGAGCAAUUCCUGAGGGGGACACCAAAAGUAGUGCUGUAACACAUAGCCUACAUUGUAAUAUGGUAAAUGUAUAUUGAGGAACCAAA